CCCUUAGAUGUUCUGGGCCGCACACGCGCUACACUGAAGGAGGCAGCGUGUACUCCUGGAUCGAAAGAUUUGGGUAACCCGCGAAUCUCCUUCGUGCUAGGGAUUGAGGUUUGCAAUUAUCCUUCAUGAACGAGGAAUUCCCAGUAAGUGCAAGUCAUAAGCUUGCGCUGACUACGUCCCUGCCCUUUGUACACGCCGCCCGUCGCUACUACCGAUUGAAUGAUUUAGUGAGGACUUCGGACUGGGACCGAUGCGGCUUUCGGGCUGCGUCGGUAUUCUGGAAAGAUGUCCAAACUGUAUCAUUUAGAGGAAGUAAAAGUCGUAACA
rnacentral:rRNA from 1 species